rnacentral:rRNA from 1 species
UACAGAGGAGCCAAGCGUUGUCCGGAUUGACUGGGCGUAAAGCGCACGCAGGCGGACGCGCGCGUGGGGUGUGAAAUCUGGCCGCUUAACGGCCAGGCGCCAUCCCAUACGGCGCGUCUGGAGUGAUGCAGAGGUCGGUGGAAUUGCCGGUGUAGGUGGUGAAAUGCGUAGAGAGUCGGCAGGAACACCCAGGGGGAAACCAGCCGACUGGGCAUGCCGACUGACGCUGAGGUGCGAGAGCGUGGGGAGCGA